AAUAUUGAAAUACAUCAUUUUCGCAAGAAGCGAAGGAUAACUUAAAACUAAAAACCAACAUCAUACAUCAUCACUGCUAGUUGCAAACAAAGUUCAGGAGAGUAACAAUCAAACCCUCUCACCACGGAUCCUCCUCGCCAGCUGGAUGUCCCUCGGCAUGAUAGUCACCCUCUUUGCAUGAAUCGCGCAGAGGUUGGUGUCCUCAAACAGCCCCACGAGAUAGGACUCCGACGCCUCCUGCAGCGCCGCCACAGCCGAGCUCUGGAAGCGGAGGUCAGCCUUGAAGUCCUGAGCAAUCUCCCUCACCAGGCGCUGGAAGGGCAGCUUGCGGAUGAGCAGCUCCGUGCUCUUCUGGUACUUG
rnacentral:misc_RNA from 1 species